GAUGAACGCUAGCUACAGGCUUAACACAUGCAAGUCGAGGGGCAGCAUAGUCUUAGCUUGCUAAGGCCGAUGGCGACCGGCGCACGGGUGAGUAACGCGUAUCCAACCUGCCUUACACUCUUGGACAGCCUUCUGAAAGGGAGAUUAAUACAAGAUGUUAUCAUGAGUAAGCAUUUUCGCAUGAUUAAAGGUUUACCGGUGUAAGAUGGGGAUGCGUUCCAUUAGAUAGUAGGCGGGGUAACGGCCCACCUAGUCUUCGAUGGAUAGGGGUUCUGAGAGGAAGGUCCCCCACAUUGGAACUGAGACACGGUCCAAACUCCUACGGGAGGCAGCAGUGAGGAAUAUUGGUCAAUGGACGAGAGUCUGAACCAGCCAAGUAGCGUGAAGGAUGAAGGUUCUAUGGAUUGUAAACUUCUUUUAUACGGGAAUAAACGAAUCCACGUGUGGAUUUUUGCAUGUACCGUAUGAAUAAGGAUCGGCUAACUCCGUGCCAGCAGCCGCGGUAAUACGGAGGAUCCGAGCGUUAUCCGGAUUUAUUGGGUUUAAAGGGAGCGUAGAUGGGUUGUUAAGUCAGUUGUGAAAGUUUGCGGCUCAACCGUAAAAUUGCAAUUGAUACUGGCAGUCUUGAGUACAGUUGAGGUAGGCGGAAUUCGUGGUGUAGCGGUGAAAUGCUUAGAUAUCACGAAGAACUCCGAUUGCGAAGGCAGCUUACUAACCUGUAACUGACAUUGAUGCUCGAAAGUGUGGGUAUCAAACAGGAUUAGAUACCCUGGUAGUCCACACGGUAAACGAUGAAUACUCGCUGUAGGCGAUAUACAGUCUGCGGCCAAGCGAAAGCAUUAAGUAUUCCACCUGGGGAGUACGCCGGCAACGGUGAAACUCAAAGGAAUUGACGGGGGCCCGCACAAGCGGAGGAACAUGUGGUUUAAUUCGAUGAUACGCGAGGAACCUUACCCGGGCUUAAAUUGCAACCGAAUAUGGCGGAAACGCUAUAGCUAGCAAUAGCGGUUGUGAAGGUGCUGCAUGGUUGUCGUCAGCUCGUGCCGUGAGGUGUCGGCUUAAGUGCCAUAACGAGCGCAACCCUUGCCGAUAGUUACUAACAGGUUAUGCUGAGGACUCUGUCGGGACUGCCAUCGUAAGAUGUGAGGAAGGUGGGGAUGACGUCAAAUCAGCACGGCCCUUACGUCCGGGGCUACACACGUGUUACAAUGGGGGGUACAGAGGGCUGCUACCACGCAAGUGGAUGCCAAUCCCAAAAACCUCUCUCAGUUCGGAUUGAAGUCUGCAACCCGACUUCAUGAAGCUGGAUUCGCUAGUAAUCGCGCAUCAGCCACGGCGCGGUGAAUACGUUCCCGGGCCU
rnacentral:rRNA from 1 species